rnacentral:rRNA from 1 species
UACAGAGGGUGCGAGCGUUAAUCGGAAUUACUGGGCGUAAAGGGUGCGUAGGUGGUUUAAUAAGUCAGAUGUGAAAUCCCCGGGCUCAACCUGGGAACUGCAUUUGAAACUAUUAGGCUAGAGUACGGUAGAGGGAAGUGGAAUUUCCGGUGUAGCGGUGAAAUGCGUAGAUAUCGGAAGGAACAUCAGUGGCGAAGGCGACUUCCUGGACCGCAACUGACACUGAGGCACGAAAGCGUGGGGAGCAAACAGG